rnacentral:lncRNA from 1 species
UACACAUCAUUUUUUUAAAACAGAUAAUACUUCUUAAUAAUUAUUAAUGGCAGAGCUAAGAAAGUGAUGAAUAUUUGUAAUUUUGGAAGUGUCUGUUCUUCAACCUUUAACUAAAGAAUUGUUUUAGCUACAUGUAUGUUAUUAUAUUUCUGUUACAGAAAAUAUUUAAAGUGGAUUUAAUAUAAAAUUGUGUAAACAGGGCAUCUUGAUAUAUAGGUAUUAGGUUCAUGUAUUACAACUACAAUGUAGUUUUAUGUAGACCUACUCUGUACAUUUAUAACUAAAACCCAACUAGAUGUAUACAGUUAAAUUAUUUAUACAAGUUAUAUAAAUUUUAAACAUUGCCAUGAAGCUUAUUGUUAUUUUUUUUUUGCCUUUUUGAUAUAUAAAUAUAUAAAUGCAUGAAAAUGCUCCUGCAAGUAGAAGCUGAAUGUUGCAAGGGUACUAUUAUAAUUAUCCAUAUGUAGCCAAAAUAUUGUCUUUGUAUACUAUAACGUAUAUGACUAGUUCAAAAAUAGUGAUGUUUUUACACAAGUUGAAGUACUUAAAUAUAUUUGUUUUAAGUUUUAAUACAAAAAUUCAUGAAAAUCAGGUUUAUGUAGGCCUCGGUUUACACAUAUUUUUAUUCUAAGAUGGUUUAAGAUCUUUCAAACCACAUCAGUAAAUCUGUAACAGUAAGUGCGGAAUAACUUUUCAUUCUCUGUAAAACAUAAACAACAGUAAGGGUGCAAUAUCGUUUGAAAAUGAUAAUUAAACUCCAUUUGGGUCGUUCAGUGAUGAUUACAAAUACAGUACUGUAAUUUCUUGAUUUUAGUGCAGUUACCCUACAGUAUAGGAUGAUUUGUUGCAAUGUACAUGUAUUACUGUUAUAUUUUCAUCAAACUGCAAAUGUCAGUGUUGUUAUAUCUCAUAAAAAUUGUGAUUUCAGUUGGAAAGUAUUAAUGAAAAAACUCAGGGGAUAUCUUUUUGUCUUUAGGAAAAGCACUUACAAUAAAGGAAAAAUACUAUAGAUUAGUGGAUAGAAUAAGUGUCUUAAGUCAUGGUUCUAUGUCUAUUAAGACAAUAAGUCUCAUGGCAUUGUCUUAUAUUUCACUGGCCAGAAAGUAGGGCUAAUUGUCAUUUUUGUCACUCCAAAUUUGUAUGUUUCUUGAGUUAAAUGUGCAUGCUCAUCUUUUUCAUAAAAUUGAGUGAUAUAUGUGUGUAAUGUGUGAAAAUUGUGUGAUUUAUAUAUGCAAAGUGCUACAGUUAUUAUGUAAUGGUACUUAAUAGAACUAUAGAGUUUAUUGAUUUAGGUAAACGAUUUAAAUAUUUUCGACUAAAAAGUCCAAAUUUUGAAUUAAUACUUUGAAAGAUAAAGAAAACUCUUAACAAUUAUUACUGAUUUAGUAAAUACACUAAUUAUUUCUACCUAAUUGGUUUGUUUUUCCUUUAUUUGUUUUUUUAUACAUUGGUGCUUAUUUCUCUAUUUUUAAAUACUGUUUGAUUUCAUUUCCUUUCAUUAAAAAUGAUUUCAAUUUGAGAGCAAGUUUUCCUCAAUAGGGGUCCAAGGGUUCUUUUUUUCAUGGAAAUAUUUUCUGGUGGAGAAUUUCAAAAUGGAACAUUUCCAAUAAUCUUUAUAAUGUAUAACAUUAAGAUAAUAAUUUGAUAAAAGGGACUGAUCAGCAAUUAAUGUUGUUAAGUGAGAAAACGGAGAAAUGAAGAAGACAAUUGGUUUUAAAUGUACAACAACAAAUCUAUUAUAUAACUUUUUAAAGAUGCUAAAAUUCUAUUUAUAGAAUUUCAUUAAAGAUCUCUGGCAUUGUGCAAUUUAAAAAAACAAGAG